rnacentral:ncRNA from 1 species
AAUUUUAUUCUAGUUUUGAAAUUUAUUUUUAGAAUAAUUUACAUGUCAGUUUUUGUGUAAGAGUAUAUUUAUCUAAAAGGUUAUAUAUUUUAUUCGCAGUAUGUAGUAUUAACUUUAUUAAGGAAGUUUAGAAUUAGUAAUUCAAUUAUAGUAUUGGCUAAAUUCGUGCCAGCUGCCGCGGUUAUACGUGGGAUGCGGAUAAAUUUUUUUUUGGUUUGGAGUUGAUUUUUUUAUAGAAUGAUGAAAUUUAUUUUUGAAGGUAAAAUUUAAAUAAAUAAUUAUAAUUAUUAUAAUUAGAAAGUAAAGCUUCGAAAUUAUAAUAAUAAACUAGGAUUAGAUACCCUAUUAUAUAUGAAGUAAAUUAUUAAGGCUGGAGUAGUAAUAGUUGUGGGCUUGAAACUCAAAGAAUUUGGCGGUGUUUUAAUCUCGUCAGAGGAAUUUGUCCUGUAAUUGAUAUUACACGAUUUAAUUGACUUAAUUUUGUAAAAUUCAGUUUGUAUAUCGCCGUCGUAAGAAUAUUUUUGGAGAAUUAUUUUCUUGAAUUUGGGUGAAAAUAUGUCAGGUCAAGGUGCAGCUAAUAAUUAAGUAGAGAUGAAUUACAAUAAGAGUACUUAUAUGAAUUUUGUUGUGUAAUUAAUAAAUGAAGGUGGAUUUGAGAGUAAUAUUAAUUUAUAAUGUUAAUAUGAUUUAGCUCUGAAACAUGUACACAUCGCCCGUCGCUCUCGUUAUAAGAUGAGAUAAGUCGUAACAAAGUAGGUAUACUGGAAAGUGUACCUAGAAAGUUUAU